rnacentral:rRNA from 1 species
AUUGAACGCUGGCGGCAUGCCUUACACAUGCAAGUCGAACGGUAACGGGCCUUCGGGUGCCGACGAGUGGCGAACGGGUGAGUAAUGUAUCGGAACGUACCUUUCAGUGGGGGAUAACGUAGCGAAAGUUACGCUAAUACCGCAUAUUCUGUGAGCGGGAAAGCAGGGGAUCGCAAGACCUUGCGCUGAUUGAGCGGCCGAUAGCAGAUUAGCUAGUUGGUGAGGUAAAGGCUCACCAAGGCGACGAUCUGUAGCGGGUCUGAGAGGAUGAUCCGCCACACUGGAACUGAGACACGGUCCAGACUCCUACGGGAGGCAGCAGUGGGGAAUUUUGGACAAUGGGGGCAACCCUGAUCCAGCCAUGCCGCGUGAGUGAAGAAGGCCUUCGGGUUGUAAAGCUCUUUCGGCCGGGAAGAAAUCGUAUCAGCUAAUACCUGGUGCGGAUGACGGUACCGGCAUAAGAAGCACCGGCUAACUACGUGCCAGCAGCCGCUGUAAGAC